CACUCCAUCAAGGCUAAGUUCCAACGAGCCCUCUACUGACCCCUUUGCCGGAAGCUUCUCUCUCUUUCUCCCUCUCUCGCCUCUAGGGUUUUCGUUUCCGUCACCAGCGUCCUCACCUCUUUCUCUCUCUCGCCCUCGGAAACCACAACUCCGUUCGUCCUCCCUGAACCCAUCCCCUGAGUCAGAGAUCCAGAGAGAACGGAAUCCAACCACUCCACUUAGCGACUAGUAUUACCGACGUCUACUCGCCUAUUCCCUCUAUUUCCUUCUUUCCAAAAACUUCACUCACCACUACUUCAUAGAGAUAGGGAUAUAGAGAGGUAGGUUGGUGAUGGCCAAGACCAAACCCGGCAAGAAGGACCUCGAUUCCUACACCAUCAAAGGCACCAACAAGGUCGUCAAAGUAGGGGACUGCGUGCUGAUGCGGCCGUCGGACUCGGAGAAGCCGCCGUACGUGGCGCGGGUGGAGAAGAUCGAGGCGGACCACCGGAACAACGUGAGGGUGCGGGUGAGGUGGUACUACCGACCGGAGGAGUCGAUCGGGGGGCGGCGCCAGUUCCACGGGGCCAAGGAGCUCUUCCUUUCCGACCACUACGACGUCCAGAGCGCCCACACCAUCGAGGGCAAGUGCACCGUUCACUCCUUUAAGAACUACACCAAGCUCGAGAACGUGGGCGCCGAGGACUACUUCUGUCGCUUCGAGUACAAGGCCGCCACUGGGGGCUUUACCCCCGACCGCGUCGCAGUGUACUGCAAGUGCGAGAUGCCUUACAAUCCCGACGACCUCAUGGUCCAGUGUGAGGGGUGCAAGGACUGUUGUAGGACUGGAUGUCUGAUGUCAUGCUUCCUGGAUGCUCAAUUCAUGGCUCUUCUAAAGAGACAUCUUAUUCUGUCUGCAUAAUAGCAUGACUUCCAACGCGGGAUGCCGAUACUGGUUAGACUCUAGUCCUAGAACUACAAUUCCGGAGCAUAAUAGUGUUAUCCUUUUACAAAAAUGAUAAGAGAUCAAUAGACACACAUUACUUACGAAUUAUCCAGAAGAGUUUGCAGCAAAAUGAAACAAGGUUUCACCCAUCUUGUAUGGGCAUGACUAUUGAACAGGCAAAAAAAUUAGAUCACUUUCUCUGUUCAGAUUGUACCUCAGAAGAUGAUGCUAAGAGAUCUGUGAAUGGCUAUCCUGCUUCACCAAUUUCGGAGCCUAAGGUUGAAUCGAAAAGGCGGAAGAGGUAACCGAGUUGAUGCUGCAUGGUCUCACAUGAGGAGGUACACAUUUAAUGGCAUGGUAGCUCUUCAUUGUUGGUAACAUGAAAAUGUACAGUUCAGGGAACAGAUUGCUUUUAGAGGCUAGAGUCAGUUCUUUUGACUUGAGUUAAAACUGUUAUGAAAGUAAAUUCGUUAUGUUCUGUGUCUUGAUGUGGCUUGCUAAAUCUUGUUCGAUCUUGCUUAGGGGAGACCAAAAGGACAAGUUCCCAAGUGUUGUUGCUUGUAAUGUGCCUGCUGUCACUAUAUAUAUUUUAGUUAAUAUCAGCAUGUCAUGAGUCAAAGUGGUGGUAUUGCCCAUGGAAA